UGACAUCAUAGGUCACGCCUUGGUUAAUUUGACCGAGAUUAAAACAGAUUAAGUAUUAGUAAACACACACACAGCCCACACAUACAUACACACAUGCCUCCUGCACAAUUCAUUUUAUUUGCAUGACAAACAUUUACAUUAUUAAUGACACCAGAAUGAAGGUAACAAAAUAGGUUUUUGCUGCUGAGCAACGUACCCAUUUCGCAAUGCCUUUUGCUUUAGAGCAUUGAUGUUGUGUGACCAAUAUUCUCCACUUUACAUUUAAACUUUAGACAAUACAAUCAUAUGCAGAAUGUAGUAGUUUUACUGUCACACCAUUAGUUUUACUGUCACACCAUUAGUUUUACUGUCACAACACAGCACUGGUGGGAGAUAUUUGAAGUAGCCAGUUGUUGCUGGAGAGAGCGAGGGAGAAGGAGCCAGUCAGAGCGCACGACAAGACGUGGCCGGUAGCAGUCAGUCAACGAGGGUAAUAUCCCGGUGCGAGCCAGCACACGGGCAUACAGAGCGAGAGGUGGGCACCCGUCCCGGACACUUUACAGUAGGCUGGUUACCUCCUGUUACAAAUUCAUAUAUGAAGAAAAGCAAUCAGGUGGUCCUGAAUGGAAAAUUGCUGAAUUUAUUUACAACUACAAAAAGAAGAAUAAAACGAACAAGACGAGCAGAGAGGAGUAGGACAAGAGAGAGAAGGGAAUGGGCUGGCUGGAAGCAUAAAGAGAGAGUACUGGUGAGACAGACGGUGGUGAGGCUGAGGCAGGCUGUGAUGCAUGGAGGAGGAGGCAGAGGAGACACAGAAAGAGAGGAAGCCAGCAGAGAGAAAGGUUCCAUGACUUUAUGGAGACAUUUCUUCCCAUUCUUUCCAAGAAGUUGGAUACACAACAUCAACACUCCCAGUAAACUGGACACAUGAAUAUUUGUUGUGCUACAAGAGCUACACCAGAGCACCCACACAGACCAAGUCUCAAGGAACAGGUUACUGAUUACAUGAUUUUAUUUGUUUUAUUAGGGGUUUUCAUUGAGCUAUUACAAAUGAAGAUGAAAACCAUAGAGGGUUAGAGACGGUGAGUCCAUCCUGUCCUUUUGCUCUUUACCGUCUUACCUUCUCAGAAUGUCCACAAGACAAGACCUAUCUGCUUACAUCAUCAGAGCAUCUGUUUUCACAAAGGAGAUCUGAAGUCAUGGUUUUAUCUCUGUUUAUGCUGAUUGUUGGUUGGUUUCAUCUGUAUUGUCAUGUUAUUCCCAGGUUGGCAAGGACACAGGAGAGGCAUCAUGGGAGGAACAAAACGGGAUAAGAAAUGUGACGACUGACUGAGUGAAAGAAGAAAACGUCAGAGAAAGAAGGAAAGAGAGAAGGAUUGUGCGUUCUCUACUUUCUCAGAAGUGCAGCCCCUAAAUUCCUGUUACUAUGCCUGAGAGAGGGAGGGCAGCAGACCAGUCAAAAUGAACCCCUACGUCACCUCUCACUUUAGGAGGGAUCUCUUUCCCCACUUCCACUUGUUGUAGAGGCUUCUCUUCUCUUCACCCCUCUCUUACUGUUUGUGUGACAUGGGUACACCUGUUUCUGUGUUAACCUAGGACAACAGGUAACAUCUGUCUCUGUAAACCUAGGACAACAGGUAACAUCUGUCUCUGUAAACCUAGGACAACAG
rnacentral:lncRNA from 1 species